rnacentral:rRNA from 1 species
UACGGAGGGUGCAAGCGUUAUCCGGAUUCACUGGGUUUAAAGGGUGUGUAGGCGGGCUGUUAAGUCAGUGGUGAAAUCUCCGGGCUCAACCCGGAAACUGCCAUUGAUACUAUCAGUCUUGAAUACCGUUGAGGUGGGCGGAAUAUGUCAUGUAGCGGUGAAAUGCAUAGAUAUGACAUAGAACACCAAUUGCGAAGGCAGCUCACUAAACGGUCAUUGACGCUGAGGCACGAAAGCGUGGGGAGCAAACAGG